CGGCACCUCAAGUGGUCAGGAUGAUUAUUGGGCCUAAAGCAUCCGUAGCCGGCGCUGUAAGUUUUCGGUUAAAUCUGUACGCUCAACGUACAGGCUGCCGGGAAUACUGCAGAGCUAGGGAGUGGGAGAGGUAGACGGUACUCGGUAGGAAGGGGUAAAAUCCUUUGAUCUAUUGAUGACCACCUGUGGCGAAGGCGGUCUACCAGAACACGUCCGACGGUGAGGGAUGAAAGCUGGGGGAGCAAACCGGAUUAGAGACCCGAGUAGUCC
rnacentral:rRNA from 1 species